rnacentral:lncRNA from 1 species
CGUUGCGAGCGUUUCCUAAUUAAUCCUCGCCUCAGCCUCCUCGGGGAAGGCGAUGUGCCGCCGGCCUGACUUCCCAGCCCGCAGCCUUCUGGAGGGCAGCGCCGGAAAAAAAAUCCCCUGCACCCCAUCAGCCCCGGGUUUUCAGCCUUCCCACGGGGACACUUUCUCUGUUGUCACCUCCUGAGGACAUUGCACAUGGGUGCUGAGGAAGACAGAGCCUGGGAAGGGGUUAAAAGACAAAAUUCUGCAGCUGCAACCUGGGAGCAAGAAGCAGAUCAUUUUUACCCAAAGCAAUUUCCCCCCUGGAGCUCAUUUUCCCACCUCCCCGCCGCCGGUAUGGCAGUUCACAGGGAAAGCUCUGCCUUUGUUUUGCUCUGUUUGGGAUCGAGGACUGUUUUGACCAGCUGGACUGUCCCCAGGAGAGAACGCUGUGCUUCCUCCCAGGAAAAAAAGAUUGGCCUGGGGGUGUCCAGCAGGGAGCUGGGCAGAGGAUGGGGUGAAUUCCUGCAGGGAAAGCAGGCAUGGGACCUACCUGCAGCCCAGCAGAGACCUGCCCUGGGAGAAGGGUGAGAGGCUGAAGCAGGCUGGGUAGGUUGAGUGGUUUACAGCCAAAAUGCAUCCUCCUAGGACCUGUAGAUGCUGGAUGAGCUGGUGGCAUCCCAACGAGCAGUGGCUCCCACUGGGAAACGAGUUGGUGGAAAACACGUCUGCAAUUUGGGGUGAGCAACACACGCCAAGGUCUUUUAGCAGGGCAAAACCAUCCCCUUGCCCUCCUCAUUGUUGGCAGCUCCAGCUCAUUGCUGCUUUUCAGGGGCUGCUUGCUGAACGCAGACACAUCCGUGGUGCUGGUGGCACUUCCAAGGGUGGGCAUGAAACCAUGUUCAUCUCCAGCCUCCUUUGAUAUGCGCUGCUUGCAAGUCUGGAGUAAAUCAGAGAUAACGAGUGACUAUCUCUGAGCACAGCCAAGGGAAGAUAGGCUGGCUUUUUAUGAUUAAUUACUCAUUAAUUUGCUUUACAUUAAAAGAAAUGCUGCUUUCUGUUUCCUCAUUGUGAGCUCUCUUCUGUUUGCUGUUUGAGCAUGGCAAUGAAUACGUUUAGGCAAAUGGGCUUUCAAAGUGUCAUUGUGAAAUGGAAACUUGAGCCUUGCAAAUGUGACUUUCAUUUUUUUUUUUUCUUUUAUUGCUUCCCCCACCCUGAUUAAACUAUUUGCCAUCCUUAGCAUGAAUCUAUGAGUAGUUACAGUUGCCUCUUAGCUGUUUUUUUGGGCUGGUAGACCCUCUGUCUGAAAAUC